UACGUAGGGGGCAAGCGUUGUCCGGAUUCAUUGGGCGUAAAGAGCGUGUAGGCGGCCAGGUAGGUCGGUUGUGAAAACUGGAGGCUCAACCUUCAGAGGUCGACCGAAACCAUCUGGCUAGAGUCCGGGAGAGGAGAGUGGAAUUCCUGGUGUAGCGGUGAAAUGCGCAGAUAUCAGGAGGAACACCAAUGGCGAAGGCAGAUCUCUGGGCCGUAACUGACGCUGAGGAGCGAAAGCGUGGGGAGCGAACAGG
rnacentral:rRNA from 1 species